CUGAUGCCAGAAAGGCAGGGUUUUAUGCAUUUUAUGCGCUAUCCUGUAAGUUUGCUCAUAGUUCUUAUGAACUGCAACAUUGUGUCAACUGAAAGUCUGAAGGAAAAUGAGUAAAAUAAAGUAGAGAGAAAAACAGAGAAGUGAAUGGAGCUUAAAAGGAGAAGCAGCAUUGAUGGAAUGAGACCCUCUUUGUCUCAUGACGCAGACAGACCUGUGAAGUGUCAUUCUGAUGUGUCAGAGAAAGCAAAUAACAUGAGCGAUUACAGCACAUUAAAACUACCUGGACCUGUCCUGACAGCUUCUCUAUCAGAAAAUCAGAAAUGUCUUAAUGAAUCUGAAAAAUCCGUUCAAAAAUUUGAAAAAAAGGAAAAAAAAAAAAACUUUUUGAAAAUAACUUUCUGAAGUAAAAAGCAGCUACAUAAGAAUAUGAAGCUAGAUGUAUUCUUAAUGGACAUUCUUCAGAUUCCUGAAGAAUUCUGAUCAUGCUUGAAAAACAUGCUUGAUCUCUGUACAUAAACAUAUUUAUAAUUUGUAUGUAUAUUGUGAAAA